AGAUUCUCCCCGAGAUACAGAAUCAUAUCAAAUCUUAUCCCAGCCCCGGGGGAGCAGCCGUCCCCCGCCAUCUGCUGUGGCCUCCCUGAAGAAGGCCGCUGCCAGCCUCUCUUACCCAAAGCUGAUGCUGGGGUUUUCAACACUCAGCCAAGUCACAGGGAGGAGGGAGACCAUUAACAAUAAUUAGAUGCAUAGCAUAGCUGACUGGGCUGCGUGAGUGGUUUUUCAAUCCGUCCUGGUGGCAAAGCUGUAUCUGAGAGGAAGAGACAUGCCAGCCCCAAUGACACAGUUAAGCAUGGGUUCAAGAAGGUAGUGGAGUGUAGACUCUCGCUCCUCAGAGUAUCAUCCUGGGGUCUGCAGCACGGCCAUCACCCGGGAGCUGGGUACUGACACAGACUCUCAGGCCCCUGCUGAAUUAGGGAACAUGCUUUAGCAAGAUGGCCUGGUGAUCAGAGGCACAUUAGAGUCGGAGACGCACUGGAGCACAGUUAAGAACAUACGGGUGCUUCCUUGUGGAUUCUAAUUCCAGCUCUGUCACUCAGUAGCUGGUGAUGUCAGGUAAGUUAAGCACCCUCUCUGAGCUUCAGUUUCCUCUCGGUUAAAGCGGAGGUGAUAUUGCCCAUCAUAAAGGGUGAUAUGAGGCACGGGCCUGGCACCCGUAGGCUCCCACCCUGGGAAAUGUUAGCAGCACGGAGCUGCUUCCUUCCCAAGCAAGCUACCCAGGAGAUGGGACUUCGGCCAGCCCUCUUGCUAUUUCACUUUUGCAUUUUCUGGGGGCAUUUACAGACCCCUGGCUAUGAACCCUGAAGCCAACAGUCGUUGCCUUUCAUCCCCAGUCUCCUUACGUGGGAAAUAAGGGUCCCGAGUGCCCUCCUGGGAGGGUGGAGCUGUGGGCGCAGGAACUGAAUGCUUGUGGACGGGCAGGGCCAGGUCGUGGGGCGGGGCUUCUAGGAAGAGGCAACACAGCAUCUGACUGGUAGUGGAGCCUUAUAAACGGCACUGUGACCGUUUCCCACAAGCAAGUAGUAUGGAGUCUGGAUUUCAUUUCUUUUACCAUUUCUGUGUUUCCUUGCCAGACGAUAGGAUUCCGUUGCCGUGGGGUUGGGGCACGAACCCCCUUCCCUUUGUUUUGUGUGGUGUGUUCUGUAGCUGUAGCUCCCUCUACUCUCCAGGCUAAUGUAACCAAGCACCGAGACAGACAAGCCACAGGUCUGUGGGGACCUCGAGGUCUCCACGAUCACUGGGCUUGUUUAGCAGAGCUGCUCUCCCAGCGGCGCUUGGCUGAGGCUGCUUUUCAAAUUCGUUUCGGGGGAAAGAGGAGGGACAGCCCCUGAGUGUUCCUUGGAAUGAGACGGCUGGUGACCUGGGCGAGUCGUUUAACCUCGCUAAGCCUCAGUUUCCUCCUAGGAUCAUAAUACUAGUAGGAGAACCUCCCUGAAGAUGCCACGCAAGUCUCUGCCCAUUCUGGGGAUGAUGGGAUGGCUGGAGGAUUAAAUGAGGCGGUACUUAUAAGGAAUGGGGUACAGAAAGUGGCAUAUGGCUGCCGUUCUUGUGGUUGUCAGAAGAGAUAGGCCUUAGACCAUUGGCCUAAGUGGAAAAUCACAAAUAAGAGAGUGGCUCCAUUCGCAAACAGCAAGCCCAGCCUCCCCACUCCGGUGCAGGUCACCCCAGGGCAACCGAUUGACGUGUCCUCCCAGAGGCUGAUUCUGAACACUCGUGCUGCCUUGGGUCUCCGGCCUGUCCCUCCAGUGAGACAUGAAGAGCCUCGCCAUCAGGCUCUGUGGGUCUGGGAAGGGUUCUGCUUACUGAUGGAGUGAGAGCUGAGGCUGCACUGGCCACGCAUCUCUUCAAACUGCCUGGCCAGCCAGUCUCCCCAGGCUCAGGCGUGGCUGAGUCGACAGUUGUUGAAGAAUGGAACGAGUUUUCCGCGCAUAAGUCUCAAGCUGGAAACCGGUCCGGCCACUCCUCACAUCAACACCUAUGAUUCCACCCAGCUUGCUGGCAUGGUGGGACCUUCCCAUUUACCUCCCUGCAGGGUGUGGGGUCCCCUGUCUCAGAGUCAGCUUCCCAGGGCAAAGAAAGCCUGAAGACCUGAGGUCUUCAGCAGAAGAUCUGUCCAUAUCAAAGGCACCUGGGACUCUGAACCCCUUACUGCCUCCCAAGACUGAGGAGUGGACCUGGAUUCCUCCUCUGGGCUCCCACUGGGAGUACAGACACAUCUACCCAGAAUGCUGAAUGUUGACACCACCUGCUGCCUUGCCUGGGGUUAGCGAAGGGCAUCCAGGGCUCUGGCACCUUUCUACCUGAGUGUCGAAUGAUGCAGACUCAUCUCUCAGGGUAUGUUCACAACUGAGCUAACCGGCAACUACUGCAAACUGUAAUGAGACCCCCGGAUGCUGACUGUGGGGGACGGUGGAGUCCUCAGAAUGUCCCAUCUUCAACACCCUCACCAUGGAGGGGCCUUUCCAGAGGGAUGGUGUGCAGACGGCUGAGCUAAGCCCCAUGGAGUCCUCACUAGGCGACUACCCCCAACCGAGAAGGGCCAGGCAGCCACUGUCCCCUUCUCUCCCCAUUAUGGUAUAUUGCCAUGUACAUCUCACUCGUGACCCUUCUCCUCCCUCCUUCCUACUGAAACAAGUUAAAACCCUGGUUCUGGUUUGUUCAUGUUUUGGAGGCUGGGUCAUGACAUCCUCCCCUCGGUGGAUUAAGGGAGGCGGCUCGGAGAAGUCAGCAACGGUGGAAUGAGCUUGGGUUCCAACAUAGGCUGACACACACAAGGACAACGGGAAAUGGAGGUGGGAAGAAGACGUGGAAGUAGGAGCGAGAAGAAUGAGGUCCUCCAUGCACCUUCUGCCAGGGGAGCUGGGCUUGCUGAACAGCAGCCACACUCUUGGAGCAGAGUGUGCAGGAUGCCCCUUUCUGUCGGGUUCCCUUGUCACACGUUCACCUAUAAAGAGGAAUAGGGGAGCUGUCUCCUUGGCUUUUCCAUCCAUUAAUCCCUCCAGAAUACCUCUCCAACAUGGACGCUUCCGCAGAAACAACUAUGUGGUGAUGUCAUAACCAGAGAUCCCUCUGAUGGUUAAGACCAAAUCAA